UUUUGACAAUCUGGAGAGAGGCGCCUUCGCGGGCGUCCACCGAAGGAGAAAUCCCAGCCCCUCGCGGGUCGGGAGAAGCUCUCAGGUAACCGUGACAGAUGGGGGCAA
rnacentral:ncRNA from 3 species